rnacentral:rRNA from 1 species
UCAGGCCUAACACAUGCAAGUCGAACGAUGAAGCUGGAGCUUGCUCCGGUGGAUUAGUGGCGAACGGGUGAGUAACACGUGAGAAAUCUGCCCUUGACUCUGGGAUAACUGCGGGAAACUGUAGCUAAUACCGGAUAUUUUCCUUGGUGGGCAUCCACUGGGGAAGAAAGAAUUUCGGUCAAGGAUGAUCUCGCGGCCUAUCAGCUAGUUGGUGAGGUAAUGGCUCACCAAGGCGACGACGGGUAGCCGGCCUGAGAGGGUGACCGGCCACACUGGGACUGAGACACGGCCCAGACUCCUACGGGAGGCAGCAGUGGGGAAUAUUGCACAAUAGGGGCAAGCCUGAUGCAGCAACGCCGCGUGAGGGAUGAGAGCGUUCGGGUUGUAAACCUCUUUAGCAGGGAAGAAGCGAAA